UGGACUUGUGUGCAAGUUUUAUUCACUUGCAUGCAAUGUUCAUCCUCAUACCUCUUGCGUCAAUUAAAGGGAGCAAACAUCAAUUGCAUCAAAAGCAAGGGUUGGAAGUUGAAGUGAAGAAUCAAUCUAGCUUUCAUGACAAAAAUUUAGGCUUAUUGGCAAAGGUCAUUGCAGCUUUGGAAUGAGAAGGUGAGAAGAAUAUUUCACUUGGUCAAGUUGCAUAGGAGAUGAGGCCUUGGAAUCAAUAAUUGAAGAAGAUCACAUAAAGAGCAUGAAAUGAAUCUUGCAUGUAGCUAAGAAAUGAUGAAAGGUUAUCAUCCUCAUCAUCUACAAAUUUCUAAAGGCGGGUUUCCUCUCCCUUAGGUUAUGAUAUUUAGUAGAGAUGCAUGUUGUAGUGUAAAACCAUGAUUUAUGACGCGGUGAAUGCAUGUUAGAGUUUAGGAUCGAUGGUUUGAUAUACUGAGGAUUGGUGUUGUUUCAUGUGUUUUUUGGUAUCCUGAUUAUGCCUAGAUGUUAAGUAUUAAUUAGGUUUCUCUACUGUAAAACUGCUAAUUUUGGAAAUUUGGUGCCUUUAUUCGAAACAAGGAAUUUUUCUAAUUCAAA
rnacentral:lncRNA from 1 species